UGAAAGCGCUGGGCUGCUUAUAGGACCACCAGUCCUACAGGGGAUACCAGCACCAAGAAAUAACAGCAUUUGUGGUUAUGCCACUCUACUGCUCAUGCUCUGAGAGGGUGUAUUACCCUUCAGAUAAACACAAGUUGUCUGCCACGCGGCACGGUGCAUGCUGAGGGGCUAUAUCAUCAUCCGCCUGAGUCACUGCUCUGCUGCGCAUGCUCUAAACAUGGCUCGGAUCCUGCGCUCCACAAGCGUAGAAGAAGCAGACCAAAAAAACCCCAACAGUAUGAGUACGGAAGACCUGAAAAAUACUACAAGCAACUUAAUCUAAUUUACACUUAUCUAAAUUCCACCCAACAAUGGCAGAAUACAAAUUAUUUUCAAGAACGCAUAAAAAUCCACUACAGUGGAGAGUUCCUGAACCACAAAUAUAAAACAGAUCUCAUCAAAUUUAAAAUUAUUGCAAGUAUACAAAGUAUGUUCUCUUAUUACAAUGGAAUUAAACUAAUAAAAUCAAAAGCAGAAAAAUA